ensembl:lncRNA
UGAAGAGAGAGAAAAGUAGGAAAGAGGAAAAGAGUAAAGUGUGAGAAAAAAGCAAAGAGAGAAGAGAGGAAAAAGAAGAAAGUUUAAGGAAAGAACAAAGAGAAAAAGAACAAAGUGUGGAAAAAGAACAAAGUGUGAAAAUAGCAAAGUAAGAGGAAAGAGGAAAAUAGGAAAGUGUGAAAAUAGCAAAGUGUGAAAAAAGAGGAAAGAGAGUAAAGAGGAAAAAGAACAAAGUGUGAAAAUAGCAAAGUGUGAGAAAAGAGCAAAGUAACAAAGUAUGGAAAAAGAACAAAGUGUGAAAAUAGCAGUGUGAGGAAAGAGGAAAAAGAACAAAGUGUGAGGAAAGAGGAAAAAGAGCAAAUGUGAAAAAAAGAGGAAAAAGAACAAAUGUGAAAAUAGCAAAGUGUGAAAAAAAGAGGAAAAAGAACAAAGUGUGAAAAUAGCAAAGUGUGAGAAAAGAGGAAAAAGAACAAAGUGUGAAAAUAGCAAAGUGUGAGAAAAGAGGAAAAAGAACAAAGUGUGAGGAAAGAGGAAAAAGAACAAAGUGUGAAAAUAGCAAAGUGUGAAAAAAGAGGAAAAAGAACAAAGUGUGAAAAUAGCAAAGUGUGAGAAAAGAGGAAAAAGAACAAAGUGUGAGGAAAUAGCAAAGUGUGAGGAAAGAGGAAAAAGAACAAAGUGUGAAAAUAGCAAAGUGUGAAAAAAGAGGAAAAAGAACAAAGUGUGAAAAUAGCAAAGUGUGGGAAAAUAGCAAAGUGUGAGGAAAGAGGAAAAAGAACAAAGUGUGAAAAUAGCAAAGUGUGAAAAAAGAGGAAAAAGAACAAAGUAUGGAAAAAAAACAAAGUGUGAAAAUAGCAAAGUGUGAGGAAAGAGGAAAAAGAACAAAGUGUGAGGAAAGAGGAAAAAGAACAAAGUGUGAAAAUAGCAAAGUGUGAGAAAAGAGGAAAAAGAACAAAGUGUGAAAAUAGCAAAGUGUGAGAAAAGAGGAAAGUAGAAAAAUAGCAAAGUGUGAGAAAAGAACAAACUCACCUCUAUGGAUGUCAACGUCGUCUUUAAUCGUCCACUGCAGAUCUCGUCUCUCGGCAUGUAAAAGAAACAGAGAAAAUGGCGACAUCAGCAAACAAUCAAAGUCCCAUGUCUUCAAUUUAUGUCAAAGCCAUGAAUGACACAGACAAGUGACCAGGAUAAAGUCCAAACGUGACCCAGAUGCUAAACAGCCAACACCUCAAGGACAGAGUGUGUCAAAGCAAAGAGUUAGACAUGCAAAGAACCCGAACAAAGUGCAAACAUGACAGACAACACAAAACAACCAUCGCUUCUGUCAAUGUGUAUGACUCACCUCUAUGGAUGUCAAUGUCCUCUUUAAUCGUCCACUGCACAUCUCGUCUCUCGACAUGUAAAACAAACAAAGAAAAAGGCAACAUCAGCAAACAAUCAAAGUCCCAUGUCUUCAAUUUAUGUCAAAGCCAUGAAUGACGCAGACAAGUGACCAGGAUUAAGUCCAAAUGUGACCCAGAUGGAAAACAGCCA